GGAAUACCCGCUGAACUUAAGCAUAUCAAUAAGCCGGAGGAAAAAAAAAAAA
rnacentral:rRNA from 1 species